rnacentral:rRNA from 1 species
UACGAAGGGGGGCUAGCGUUGUUCGGAAUCACUGGGCGUAAAGCGCACGCAGGCGGAUUGAUAAGUCGGGGGUGAAAUCCCGGGGCUCAACCUCGGAAUUGCCUUCGAUACUGUCUGUCUUGAGUCCGGGAGAGGUGAGUGGAAUUCCUAGUGUAGAGGUGAAAUUCGUAGAUAUUAGGAAGAACACCAGUGGCGAAGGCGGCUCACUGGCCCGGUACUGACGCUCAUGUGCGAAAGCGUGGGGAGCAAACAGG